rnacentral:rRNA from 1 species
CCCUUAGAUGUUCUGGGCCGCACCCGCGCUACACUGAAGGAGGCAGCGUGUACUCCUGGAUCGAAAGAUUUGGGUAACCCGCGAAUCUCCUUCGUGCUAGGGAUUGAGGUUUGCAAUUAUCCUUCAUGAACGAGGAAUUCCCAGUAAGUGCAAGUCAUAAGCUUGCGCUGACUACGUCCCUGCCCUUUGUACACACCGCCCGUCGCUACUACCGAUUGAAUGAUUUAGUGAGGACUUCGGACUGGGACCGAUGCGGCUUUCGGGCUGCGUCGGUAUUCUGGAAAGAUGUCCAAACUGUNUNAUUUAGNGGAAGUAAAANUCGUANCA